rnacentral:rRNA from 1 species
UACGAAGGGGGCUAGCGUUGCUCGGAUUGACUGGGCGUAAAGGGCGCGUAGGCGGUUCGUACAGUCAGACGUGAAAUUCCUGGGCUCAACCUGGGGGCUGCGUUUGAUACGUGCGGACUUGAGUGCGGAAGAGGGUCGUGGAAUUCCCAGUGUAGAGGUGAAAUUCGUAGAUAUUGGGAAGAACACCGGUGGCGAAGGCGGCUAUCUGGACCGACAUUGACGCUGAGGCGCGAAAGCGUGGGGAGCAAACAGG